GACCCCUGAUCUUGUGGCGUGCCACCGCGCGAGGCCGAGGAGCUCCCGCAGACCAGUGGGCGUGGCGUCCUUGUCGCGGCUCUGUGGAGACCUGGCGAUGGAGAGCAGCAUGGCGGACCCCUGAUCUUGUGGCGUGCCACCGCGCGAGGCCGAGGAGCUCCCGCAGACCAGUGGGCGUGGCGUCCUUGUCGCGGCUCUGUGGAGACCUGGCGAUGGAGAGCAGCAUGGCGGACCCCUGAUCUUGUGGCGUGCCACCGCGCGAGGCCGAGGAGCUCCCGCAGACCAGUGGGCGUGGCGUCCUUGUCGCGGCUCUGUGGAGACCUGGCGAUGGUGAGCGGCCCCUGUCCUCAGUGGUGGAGAACUCGCCCUUGGGGCGCUCGUCGUCCGGAGCCCCGGGCCACCCCGCUUCUCGCGGGCUUUGGCCCCGGCAGGCCAGCUCCGGGGGCGUGAGGGGAGCGUCCCGUCCUGCCCAGUGGCUCGUCUGUCUGGGCACGCCCCCAAACGCUGCCGUGAUGGAGCGGGGUGGAUGUCCAGGUGCGGAGGCCGUGAAUUUGCCUUGCGGCGGCGGAGCCCGUGCUCGGAUCGAUGAUGACUCCCUCUAAAGCAUUCCUUGGAAAUCUGAACAAAAUGAGUGAGAACUCACUACCGUCUCCUCAUCGAAACUGAGGUCCGGCACGUGGCGGCCACCGGGGGCUCGGGGGCCCUUGGCCUUGGGGCCUCUGUGUGUCAGCAGCCACUCGGGUGAGGUCUGGGGAAGGC
rnacentral:lncRNA from 1 species